rnacentral:rRNA from 1 species
UACGUAGGGAGCGAGCGUUGUCCGGAAUCACUGGGUGUAAAGGGUCCGCAGGCGGGUUGGCAAGUCAUUGGUGAAAUUCUGAGGCUUAACCUCAGGGCUGCCAAUGAUACUGCUGAUCUUGAGUACGGAAGAGGAAGACGGAAUUCCUGGUGUAGCGGUGAAAUGCGUAGAUAUCAGGAAGAACACCGGUGGCGAAGGCGGUCUUCUGGUCCGUUACUGACGCUCAGAGACGAAAGCGUGGGGAGCAAACAGG